rnacentral:rRNA from 1 species
UACAGAGGUCCCAAGCGUUGUUCGGAAUUACUGGGCGUAAAGGGCGCGUAGGCGGCCUGCUAAGUCGGAUGUGAAAUCCCUCGGCUCGACCGAGGAACUGCAUCCGAUACUGGCGGGCUUGAAUCCGGGAGAGGGAUGUGGAAUUCCAGGUGUAGCGGUGAAAUGCGUAGAUAUCUGGAGGAACACCGGUGGCGAAGGCGGCAUCCUGGACCGGUAUUGGACGCUGAGGCGCGAAAGCUAGGGGAGCAAACGGGGAUUAAGAAACCCUGAG